UUUAACUGAAGAGUUUGAUCAUGGCUCAGAUUGAACGCUGGCGGCAGGCUUAACACAUGCAAGUCGAGCGGAUGAAGGUAGCUUGCUACUGGAUUCAGCGGCGGACGGGUGAGUAAUGCUUAGGAAUCUGCCUAUUAGUGGGGGACAACGUUCCGAAAGGGGCGCUAAUACCGCAUACGUCCUACGGGAGAAAGCAGGGGACCUUCGGGCCUUGCGCUAAUAGAUGAGCCUAAGUCGGAUUAGCUAGUUGGUAGGGUAAAGGCCUACCAAGGCGACGAUCUGUAGCGGGUCUGAGAGGAUGAUCCGCCACACUGGGACUGAGACACGGCCCAGACUCCUACGGGAGGCAGCAGUGGGGAAUAUUGGACAAUGGGGGGAACCCUGAUCCAGCCAUGCCGCGUGUGUGAAGAAGGCCUUUUGGUUGUAAAGCACUUUAAGCGAGGAGGAGGCUACCUAGAUUAAUACUUUAGGAUAGUGGACGUUACUCGCAGAAUAAGCACCGGCUAACUCUGUGCCAGCAGCCGCGGUAAUACAGAGGGUGCGAGCGUUAAUCGGAUUUACUGGGCGUAAAGCGUGCGUAGGCGGCCAAUUAAGUCAAAUGUGAAAUCCCCGAGCUUAACUUGGGAAUUGCAUUCGAUACUGGUUGGCUAGAGUAUGGGAGAGGAUG
rnacentral:rRNA from 1 species